ACAGGGCGACAGGUGGUGCAUGGUUGUCGUCAGCUCGUGUCCGUGAGAUGUUGGGGUUAAGUCCCGCAACGAGCGCAACCCUCGACCUUAGUUGCCAGCAUUCAGUUGGGCACUCUAAGGUGACUGCCGGCUAAAAGUCGGAGGAAGGUGGGGAUGACGUCAAAUCAUCAUGCCCCUUAUGACCUGGGCUACACACGUGCUACAAUGGGCGGUACAAAGGGUCGCGAACCCGCGAGGGGGAGCCAAUCCCAAAAAGCCGCUACUCAGUUCGGAUUGCAGGCUGCAACUCGCCUGCAUGAAGCCGGAAUCGCUAGUAAUCGCGGAUCAGCAUGCCGCAGUGAAUACGGUUCCCGGGCCUU
rnacentral:rRNA from 1 species